rnacentral:rRNA from 1 species
UGCGCAGGCGGAAUGAUAAGUCAGUGGUGAAAUCUCCCGGCUCAACCGGGAAACUGCCAUUGAUACUGUCGUUCUUGAGUACAGUUGAAGUGGGCGGAAUGUGUCAUGUAGCGGUGAAAUGCAUAGAUAUGACACAGAACACCGAUAGCGAAGGCAGCUCACUAAACUGUAACUGACGCUCAGGCACGAAAGCGUGGGGAGCAAACAGGAUUAGAUACCCUGGUAGUCC